rnacentral:rRNA from 1 species
AGCAGCCGCGGUAAUUCCAGCUCCAAUAGCGUAUAUUAAAGUUGUUGCAGUUAAAAAGCUCGUAGUUGAAUUUCGGGGUUAGUAGGUUGGUCAUGCCUCUGGUAUGUACUGGUCUCACUGAUUCCUCCUUCCUGAUGAGCCGUAAUGCCAUUAAUUUGGUGUUGCGGGGAAUUUGGACUGUUACUUUGAAAAAAUUAGAGUGUUUAAAGCAAGCUAACGCUUGAAUACAUUAGCAUGGAAUAAUGAAAUAGGACGUUCGAUCCUAUUUUGUUGGUUUCUAGGAUUGACGUAAUGAUUAAUAGGGAUAGUUGGGGGCAUUAGUAUUCAAUUGUCAGAGGUGAAAUUCUUGGAUUUAUUGAAGACUAACUACUGCGAAAGCAUUUGCCAAGGAUGUUUUCAUUAAUCAAGAACGAAAGUUAGGGGAUCGAAGACGAUCAGAUACCGUCGUAGUCUUAACCAUAGACUAUGCCGACUAGGGAUCGGAUGAUGUUAAUUUUUUAAUGACUCA